UACCGGGUAGUCCCGGCUGUAAACGAUGCGGGCUAGGUGUUGGGUGGGCUUUGAGCCCACCCAGUGCCGCAGGGAAGCCGUUAAGCCCGCCGCCUGGGGAGUACGGCCGCAAGGCUGAAACUUAAAGGAAUUGGCGGGGGAGCACCACAAGGGGUGGAGCCUGCGGUUUAAUUGGAGUCAACGCCGGGAAUCUUACCGAGGGCGACAGCAGGAUGAAGGCCAGGCUAACGACCUUGCCAGACACGCUGAGAGGAGGUGCAUGGCCGUCGCCAGCUCGUGCCGUGAGGCGUCCGGUUAAGUCCGGCAACGAGCGAGAUCCCCACCCCCAGUUGCGAUCCCGAUCCCUGGAUCGGGAGCACACUGGGGGGACUGCCGCCGAUAAGGCGGAGGAAGGAGGGGGCCACGGCAGGUCAGCAUGCCCCGAAUCCCUCGGGCUACACGCGGGCUACAAUGGUGGGGACAGCGGGUGCCGACCCCGAAAGGGGAAGGCAAUCCCUGAAACCCCGCCGUGGUUGGGAUCGAGGGCUGUAACUCGCCCUCGUGAACGUGGAAUCCCUAGUAACCGCGCGUCAACAUUGCGCGGUGAAUACGUCCUGCUCUUGCACUCACCGCCGUAAGGCGA
rnacentral:rRNA from 1 species